rnacentral:rRNA from 1 species
GACGAACGCUGGCGGCGCGCUUAACACAUGCAAGUCGAGCGAGAACCAGACCUUCGGGUCUGGGGACAGCGGCGAACGGGUGAGUAACACGUGGGUAAUCAACCCUCGGUACUGGGAUAGCCCGGGGAAACCCGGAUUAAUACCGGAUGGCCCUUCGGAUCUUCGGUUCUGAAGGAAAAGGUAGCUUCGGCCUCCGACCGAGGACGAGCCCGCGGCGGAUUAGCUUGUUGGUGGGGUAACGGCCUACCAAGGCGGCGAUCCGUAGCUGGUCUGAGAGGACGAUCAGCCACACUGGGACUGAGACACGGCCCAGACUCCUACGGGAGGCAGCAGUGGGGAAUCUUGCGCUAAUGCGGGAAACCGUGACGCAGCGACGCCGCGUGAGGGAAGAAGGCCUUCGGGUUGUAAACCUCUUUCAGGAGGGACGAAGCUACUCGGGUUAAUAGCCCAGAGGGUGACGGUACCUCCAGAAGAAGCCCCGGCUAACUACGUGCCAGCAGCCGCAGUAA